GUCGAUUUUUACUUUUUUAUGCAACACUGGCUUAUUGCCCACCUCUCAAAGAGAGCUGAUUGUCGAUAACAUGCGUAAGACAAAAUUGGCGGCAAAUCAUUGUGCAACAUUUGUGGUUAAUAUUUCCUCAGAGAAUUAAAAAGUUUAAGCUGGUGUCAUGGAAAACAGUAGGCCAGUCAACUUAACAAUUGUAGCUGUGUUUCGUGGAAUAUAACUUUUGUAUGGCAAACCACUUCAAAAGAAUUUUAACGGCAAGUUAUUAACUAACAUGUGUAUAAUAUUAUACAACUAGUUUCAUAUGCACCUUUUUGUUCCUUUUUGAAAAAAUUACGUUUUUGUAGAUGAAUACUUGUUUGGGCAUGCAGAGCUGCUUGACAUUUGGAGCAACAAUAGUCGCUCUGAGGAUGCAGUUAGGCAGCAUAUAUUUAAAAAAAUUGGUCAGAAAAAUUGGUCAAAUAACAUUUGCCAGGUUGCAAUAGAUUAUAGGUUGUAAGUAUAAUAGCAUAACAAUGACAUAUGAUAAAUUUAUUUUUAAAUUUCAUGACAAACUGUUUUGGACCAUCAUAUACAUCUUAAUAUGAUUUUAUUUUAUUUGAUUUUCUGUAUAUAAUAUCAUAAUAUAAUAUAAUUAAAAAUAGAUACAAAUUUUUUUUUUUUUGGUAAUGUAAAUAUUUUUAUGGCAUAUCGGCCAGAUCGUUUAUAUGGCAGCUAUAUGAAAGUUGACCAAAUCACUUGAAACUUUGUGAAUCAUCUUGGGGGAAGUAAAGAGUAACACAAACCAAAUUUGGUGAAGAUAGGUCAUCAUUUCGAAUUUCUGCCAAAAAAAACGCA